GUGCCUAGUCUGUGGGCUGUCUUGGAGAAAGCAUGACUCAGCUUGGUCCUGGACCCUGGCCCGAGACCAAUCAGGAGCUGAAGUGAUGAUUCAUAAGGAUAA